rnacentral:rRNA from 1 species
GAUGAACGCUGGCGGCGUGCCUAAUACAUGCAAGUCGAGCGAACAGACGAGGAGCUUGCUCCUCUGACGUUAGCGGCGGACGGGUGAGUAGCACGUGGAUAACCUACCUAUAAGACUGGGAUAACUUCGGGAAACCGGAGCUAAUACCGGAUAAUAUAUUGAACCGCAUGGUUCAAUAGUGAAAGACGGUUUUGCUGUCACUUAUAGAUGGAUCCGCGCCGCAUUAGCUAGUUGGUAAGGUAACGGCUUACCAAGGCGACGAUGCGUAGCCGACCUGAGAGGGUGAUCGGCCACACUGGAACUGAGACACGGUCCAGACUCCUACGGGAGGCAGCAGUAGGGAAUCUUCAGCAAUGGGCGAAAGCCUGACGGAGCAACGCCGCGUGAGUGAUGAAGGUCUUCGGAUCGUAAAACUCUGUUAUUAGGGAAGAACAAAUGUGUAAGUAACUAUGCACGUCUUGACGGUACCUAAUCAGAAAGCCACGGCUAACUACGUG